UACGUAGGGUGCGAGCGUUUGUCCGGAAUUACUGGGCGUAAAGAGCUCGUAGGUGGUUUGUCGCGUUGUUCGUGAAAACUCACAACUCAAUUGUGGGCGUGCGGGCGAUACGGGCAGACUGGAGUACUGCAGGGGAGACUGGAAUUCCUGGUGUAGCGGUGGAAUGCGCAGAUGUCAGGAGGAACACCGGUGGCGAAGGCGGGUCUCUGGGCCGAUACUGACGCUGAGGAGCGAAAGCGUGGGGAGCGAACAGG
rnacentral:rRNA from 1 species